ACUGCAGCCAGAGGGAGGCACACCACCCCAGCUCUCGGGUUUUCUGAGUCUUUUUCAAACUGUCUGCCAGGAGUGAGCCAGUGGAAAUGAGGAGGGGAACCCAUAACGCACACAGCGGAGGUGCCCAGCCGCCCUAUAAAGCUGGCCGAUGAUUGUGCCCUACCACAAUCAGGUUGUUGGAAACUGCGCUGUGAAACAGGACACAAGCUGAGGUGCAGACACCUGUGCAGCAUGGACGGCCACCGGCCAGCGAGAGGGCCAGUGGGACUCCGGCCCAGAAGUUCGGUGCAGAGAUUGCAGCAGGCGGCUGCAGGCUCAGACAGCCCUGCGCGCCAUUGUUCCACGACGGAGAUAGAAUCGCAGGGAGGCCGGUGCUGAAUCAGCCGUGCUCCCCAACAAUGCCCUGUGUCUCAUGAAAGUGUUCGGCUCAGACACGGAACAGGCCAGCUCGGGAAACAACGGGAAGAGAGGUAGCGACAAGGAGAGGUCGGUGCGAGCGACCGAAAGACCUGAGACGACGUGGCGGCUUUUCAGGUAACACACUGCACUGCCCAAACCCUCAGACGCCUGCAGGUCUCACCCCUCCUGUGAAUAACCAGGCUUCCCCCAAGGCUGCCGCCCGGUGGUCAGGGCAGGGGGCCUCCAGACUCCACCUGAGGCUGCUCAGGGAGCAUCCAGGGGAGCUCAGAUCUUUCAGCCAGUGCCUGUUCCCAGAACCUGAGGAGGAGCCCCACCGGGAGGGUCCAGCUGCAAGAGCCGUUUCAGAAGACGGGUUUGAUGACUAAAGGUUCAAAUCCUUCUCCCACUCAGUCAAGAGAACAAAGGAGGAGCUCGCGAAGGGGCCUAGCCGGCAAAGUUUACGUUUGGCCGGAGUGUGGGGUCCAGACGCGCCUGGAUCCGAUCAGCACGUUGGACAGCGCUCCCUCGCCCGCCGGCCCCUUUGUUCUCGGCGCACGGAAGUCCCCAGUCGGGACAGGCCCCGGGCGACGAUCGCGGAGCCCGCGGAAAGGCAAUUCCAAACCAAGGCUUGCAGUCCUGCCUCUAGGUGACAGCAGCAAGGUGUCGCCAAAAAUGUUCUUACACGGAGGAAACUGUCAGGAUUUUUUUAAAUCAUAAAAUAUU
ensembl:lncRNA